GUUUAAAGGAGAUCAGAACUCUAUUGUCUCAGGUCAGGUUCCCCAGGAAGCAGCCUCUGAGCCAAACUUUGAAGAAUGUUUAUUAACGAGUGUCCAUGGGAUCCACAGCUGUCCCGAACUGUAGACCUUAGCCAUGGACUCAGGACAAUUCCUGUGGUAGGAAUCUUGUGGCUUGACACCAGAAGAAACGAUUUUGCAGAUGCUUUAAGAGGACAUGCCCAAUAUGACUCCGUUUUGGGUGUAGUUACUGCACAGAACUCCAGAUGUCAAAACAGAUUUGUGUUGUGUUUCUAUGCUAAUACAUCUCUGCAGGGUUAAUUUAAGAAUACUGACUCCUUUUCUGUUGCUCAAACUAACUGUAAGAGUGAUUAGCAGAUAUCUGGAUUGAUUAAUGUUUCAGUGUUUUUGUCAUUUCUUUAGGGAAAGCAGAAUGCAGCAGUGUAGCACUGAGUACGAGGAAAUUGUAAUGAAUAGUACUGACUUCUAAAUUACCUUUAAACAUUUUACCCUAGUUUGAUUUUUUUUUCAUAAAAAGUUUAGGAUUUCAUAAUCAUGAUGGUGGUUUUUUUUAAUAACAGGAUAGCUCCCCUCC
rnacentral:lncRNA from 1 species